rnacentral:RNase_P_RNA from 1 species
UCAGUCGGCUGGACGGUCGCUCGGGCCAAGGCCGAAAGGUGGCCCGAGAGGAAAGUCCGGGCUCCAUGGACGUACGGUGCCGGAUAACGUCCGGCGGGUGUUAAGCCCAGGGAAAGUGCCACAGAGAACAGACCGCCGCUCGUAGCGUCCCUUCUCGGGAGGCAUGAGCGGUAAGGGUGAAACGGUGCGGUAAGAGCGCACCGCGCCUGCGGCAACGCAGACGGCACGGCAAACCCCACCGGGAGCAAGACCGAAUAGGGACGGCGCGGAGCUCGCCUCUGCGAGAGCGGAAGCGGUCUUCGGGAUCCAUGUCCGGAUCCGGCCGUCCGGGUAGGUUGCUGAAGGCGCCGGGCAACCGGCGUCGCAGAGGAAUGGCCGUCACGCGAGGCGCAAGCCUCGCCCUACAGAACCCGGCUUACAGGCCGGCUGAUGCG